rnacentral:rRNA from 1 species
CGGGGGGGGUAAGCGUUGUUCGGAAUUACUGGGCGUAAAGGGCUCGUAGGCGGCCAACUAAGUCAUACGUGAAAUCCCUCAGCUUAACUGGGGAACUGCGUGUGAUACUGGAUGGCUUGGAUUUGGGAGAGGGAUGCGGAAUUCCAGGUGUAGCGGUGAAAUGCGCAGAUAUCAGGAGGAACACCAGCGGCGAAGGCGGCGCUCUGGGCUGGAACUGACGCUGAGGAGCGAAAGCGUGGGGAGCGAACAGG